GGCGGAUUGGCUAAGUGGUUAAGCGCCUGCUUUCGGGGCAGGAAUUCGCGGGUUCGACUCCCGUAUCCAUUA
rnacentral:tRNA from 1 species